CAUCUAAGCGUGAAGCCCACCUUAAGAUGAGAUCUCCCAAUUUAGUAAGACCCCUUAUAGACGAUGAGGUUGAUAGGCCAGGUGUGGAAGUCCAGUGAUGGAUGAAGCUGACUGGUACUAAUAGGUCGAGGACUUAACCUU
rnacentral:rRNA from 1 species